AAAAAUGUCUCCAUUUUUACCUUAAUUGUCCUGAAAUUUCAAGGUUUUAAGGUGUCAUAGUUGUCCAGGUAGCUGGAAGAGAGACCCUCUAAUCCAUGUUCUCUACAUCCACGAAGUAAAUGAUGGAGCAGCAAUGCUCUGAAAGACUCCUGCCCAUGCAGUAUCAGCAAUAUAUCUCCAAGUAGAGAAUGCUGCUCCUGCAGAGGCCAACAGGAUAUAGUGGAUAGGCAACCAAAUCAGCUUCUGAACAUGGGGCUCACUGCUCAGAGUCUGUACUUUUUUAACAGCUUUUGGAAGUAGAUUUUCAUGGUUGAUCACAGUUUCUGUAGCCUGUUCUCCCUCUGCGUCUUCCUGCCUGUUCCCAUAUCAGCACAGAUAUUUUGACAACCCAGAGACCGGUGUUUUAUUUCUGUCAUUCCACUUUUUCACAUGUAUUAUUGGAUCAAGAUGGUUGUCUCUGUUUUACUUCACUGAAGCUGCUAUAACAUAAAAGCAGCACUUACCUCCUCUACAUGUGUUUAUCAGGAAAAUUCUCACCCCCAAAACAGAGUAUAACUUUAUGUUAUCUGUGUUUCCUCCACUUUGGUGAAAAGAGGUUUUCCACUUGGAAAGCCACAGAGAUGGACAUGCCCUGGGUCAAAUGCCACAGAAUUAUUUUCUCUUUAAGCACAGAUCUCAAAAGGCGAUUUGCAUCCCACUACACAGGUUUUCCCCAGGCUUUUCAUGCUUUUGGGUAGAACAGGCUCCAUUUUUGUGGGAGUUUUCUUUGGAAAGGGAUUCCAAGGACCUGUGCUGUGCAGAGAAGGUGUGACUCCAGCUCUGCAGCAGGUCAGGUUUGCUGUGAGCACCAGUAAGGCUGUCCCAUCUCCUGGCACUCAAUACUAUUAGAUCCAGAGCAGGAUGCAAGCCCCUUGUCCCCAGGUACCCUUGGCUGACAAAAUAAACAUGAAUUCAUUCUGGUUUUCUCACCUCUCUCCUGUUCAUGUCAGAAGUGAGACUGAAGCUGUAUGAGCAAAUUCACCGUGUCCACCAGAUUCUGUGUUGCAUUAAUACUGACUAGUAACUAAAAAUAAUCUCCUUUUGAGUGUCAUAACAGUAGCUGCUAUUUAACCCCUCCUUUUCAGUUUCUUUUUGGGCUCCAGAAUGGGGGAAGAAUUUGCUGUAGGAAGAAUAUUGGGAAAAAUAUUCAGUCUUUUUCUUCAAUUUUAUUUGCCUUGCUGGAAAUGAAUGACAGGCUGUAGCAGUCAAUAUGUCACUCACACACGCUCUUACACUCAGACACACUUUUACACAAUCACACGUUCAGACACAUUCACUCUUACACACUCUUACAAACACACAUUCACACUUUUGGUUGUCAAGGAUCUGCCCUGCCUCAUACUCCUUGUGUCAAGCCACAAAAUCCACAAAGUCUCUGUUUUACCUCCUUGUUCUUUUCCCCUGAAGGAAAACAACCUUGUAAAUUCUUGUGGCUCUUGGGAGAGGUGGGAGGUGGGUACAGACUUCCCUGGUGGUGUAGCUGCUUUUCAUACUUCCCCCAACCUCAGCAGAGUGGGUCUGUACUGCACAGUGCCCGGGAGUGACAACUGCAGCACGUCCCUUCUUGGGCUGGAGGAGUUCACCUGGAUACUUCCUUGCAGUAUUUCACAGCACAUUUAGACACAGCUAAGCAAGUACAAUUCCUUGCUCUGGUUCCAAGCUUGGCUGUGCAUUUUUAAACAUUGUUAGAGUUCACAUGAAAUUGCUUCCAGCUGCUUUCACAAAGCCUAAAUAUUGCCAGAGUCCCAUAUAAUGUUCCUUUUCUGCCAGAUUGUGGCCUCCUAUAGAGAGGUCUUCAAAGACCAGUUUCAACAAAAUCAAAUUAUUUUGGAAUAUAAUUACCUCUCACCCCUUUAAAUUUCAUAGUUUUCUAAAGAGUUUCCUGUAAAUAGAUCCCACUCUUUAAAGGAGCCAUGCCUUUCUGCAGUGCUGGUGGGAGCCAGCCCUCACCAGGCUCCCCUGCAUUAGCAAUUCUUGGACAGACAGUGCCUAAGUAGCUUGUUAUGUGAUAAAACGUCACAUUUCUUCUCCCCAGCACUGCUUGUGCUGAUAUUCAGCUCCUGCAGGAAACCAUAUGGCUUCCAGAGUCCUACCCACAUACCUGGAGUGCCUACGCAGUCCAUGAGUCACAGUCACUGUUUGGAUGCCCCUUGAGUCAUCUGAAAAUCUGUGAAAUUUCCAUGUCUCUUUUCCAUGCAAUCUCUUAAGAACUUUAGACAGUUAUGUAUAAGGAUUUACAUAUGUAUCUUUUUUUUUUUUUUUCUGUUCUGUUUUUAGUUUCAUGGGUGGUAAUACACUGGCACUUCUUAUUUUGAAGGAAAUUGAAUCUUGAUGAGAGCAGAGCACUGGCUGCAGCUGUCUGGGGAUGGGACUGAACUGAAAAAGUUGAGAGAAGGGCUUUGGAGGCAGGAAGUCCAACACACUUGGGCUGCCACCCUUUCAUUCUGCUCUGACAGGGCCAUACCUGAUGACUGCUGACCCUUGGUGUGUUUCUGUGUCCAAAGGCAGCUGCAGUGCUGCCUUCAGUGGGAUGUGAGUACUCUGGGGCCCCUGACAAGACUUUGCAGCACUGAGGAAUGGCACAGAUGGAGCACACUUGGGUCUCCCAGGGCGUUCUGGGGACUGACCCAGGGCAGCAGGGCUUGGGGUAGAUGUCUGCCUUUAUGCUCCUUCAGCUCCUCAGCUGCAGGGACUCCAGCCUCAGACAAGUCUAUCUGCCCUUUAUCAAUCUCAUGACAAGAUAAUUUUGCUCCCUCAGGACAGCACAGGUGAUGUGUAAACUUUGCCUGUUGCUUUUGCUGACAAAAGUAAAGACAGUUUUUUUCUCUUUCCUCUAUGAUGGGCCAAUACUGAAGAUGCAUUAUAGCACAAAUUAAAACCAGCAGCCCCAAGGUUUGCUGCAGCAGCAUGGAAUGAUGUAACCAGCCUGCCUGAAACUGCUACUUUUGCAGCUGUAGGCCAAAUGCAGGCAGUGUUGGGUGUUUAACAGAAUAAUCUCACAAGCAGUUGAAGGGGAAGGAAUGUGUAGAUUGACUGUUCUGCCAUGGAGUGUGUGAGCUGACUGUUUGCACUAAAAACAUCUAUGUCUCCUCAUAGGCAUUCUGCAACCAAACGGUGUUUCUGUGGCCUUACAGAGCAAGAAAAAUUGUCAGAGCCUUCCAGAAGAUGUUGGAGCAUUAGCAGCCAGGCACUGAAUUUUAAUUGUUUAUAAAAAUUGUAAUUGCACUCUUCUAUACAUUGAGUACAUAUAUUUAUAUAAAACAUUCUAAAUAAGGAAAUAGAAGUCUCAUAUUUCUUAUAAUGCUCUAGUUCCUGAGGUUGCUGGAAUAGUAAAACUCACUCAAUGGAUAAAUCUUAUUACGAGAGCAAAAGAAAGACUAUUUUGCUGUAUACAUAUGGCACAAAAUCCCUAAUUGAACAAGAGGUCAAACAACAUCAGCACCCACAAACUGCACAAUGACAGGGAAAAUAAAUAGUCUUUUAGACAAAAAGAAGUCCAGUUUUCUCUUACUCUCCCUGUAAACAGGAGCAUGUUUAUCUACUAGGCAUGCCCAGCUGGACUCUCUAAUGCUAAGAAUAAUGACAUCCUUGUGUUCUGAUGGAGAUCGAAUUAACCCAAGACAAGUUUCAGUUAUGAGGACAAACUGGAUAUACAGUUCUCAAAUGAAAAUUAUGAAGAUUGUGUUACUGGGGAAACUGACUUGUCUGUAUUUAAAAAAAAUAAAAUUAAAUAAGCAGAGAUGUGUAAGAUGAUCCCGUAAGAAUUCCAUUGAGUAGGCUUAAUUAAAUUUGCUGAACUGUGAUUUUUUAAAAUAAAACUUUGAUUUUAACAACUGAAGAUCCCAUGUAACAGGCAGCAACUUAUUUUACCCAUGAGAGUGAAGAUGAUAGACAAAAGUGAGCUGAUAUUUCAACUAUUAGCAGUACCUAUGACAGGCACUUGGCUCUUAGGGUUGUGUGACAGAGUAACUGCAGACUGUAUUGGAAAGUGUAUCUUUAGUCUUUAGUGGCCUCAUGAAAAUUUUCCAUAUAUAAUAGCUUUUGCAGGGAAAAAAGGACAUGUUACCAUUCCAUGUUGUCAUUCAAGUAGAAUGCUUCUACAAGAAGUUAUUUGCAUCUCUUAUAAUCCACAAAAUUACAGAUGAUAAUGAAAAGGUGCUCUUCUGAAAAGACAGCUCCUGGAAGGUAAGGCUCUGGCACACAAUCCAAACUUAUCAGACAUCAGAGAAUCCAGAUGAGUGGAGGCAUAAUGAACAAGCUAACAUCACUCAGGCUUCGUUCCUUGUUAAGCAGGGAAAAUGAGGCUUCAUUAGUUUCACUGCUUCCCCAGUUAGCUGUGAAGCAUUGCACUGAGUUUGCAGGGGAGUGAAAGCUUUUCUGCCGCUGUCAGAGAUCCUUUCAUGAGCAUCAACUCCCAGUUCUGAAUGAAUGAGACAAAUCACCUACUUUGUAUAGUGACUUUGGACUCUUAAUCUGACAAUCAAGAGAGCACCAAUUUUAUUGUUCUUGUGUUUUCUUUCAUUAGUAAGCCCCACAUAAAAAAAGUCUUGAGCUUUACUCUUUAUUCUUCAACAGUCAGCAUUUCUUUUUACUAAAAUUAAUACUAUAAUUAUAGUAUUCUAGAAAUAUUCCACCUUAUACAACAGUGUCCAUCUUUAAUUAUGAACAGAUGUACCUGUAUUUAUUUAAUCUAGUCUACCUUCUGUUGUGAUGGAAUUUGUCUCAGCUUGUAACUACUGUAUUUUUUUGGCCAUACUAAUAACUGUUAAUUCUUGCCAUGUGAUGAUGUCUGCCAUCAUUUUUUUCUUGGUGUUCUUGUGUUGAUUGACAUUGUGUGUGAAUCUAGGGAAUGGUUUUUGAAGUCUCCUGUUCUGAGUUCAUUAUACCUCUCCAGUUACUGUGUGGGACAUCAGCUGCAACACAUCCACUGCCACUGCCAGUUUGAGAAGUCCACAUUGUCAGCUGGCUCCAGUGGGACUUAGGGGUUCACCAGGUAGCUGGCAUGAAGUCAAACCCCCCAUGUCCUGCUGCCCUGCCUGUGGCCAAAGUGUGACUGACUCAAAACAUAAGAAGCCUGACAGCAUUUUUGUUCCUUGUAGUGUGGUGCCAGCUGACCAGGUGAUGUUUCUAAGAGCAGAAAGAGCCAUUUUUAAAGUGGCAGCUGGACUGCUUUGAGGAGUAAGAGCUGGUGUGGGAUCAGGUACAAAUCUGUGGCAGAGCUCACUACUGUGAUCACUUGCCAGAGCAGGCAGCUGCCAACAAGUUCUGGCAUAGUUUCUCAAAGUGGGAAAACAUCAUCUCUGUUUCACUAUAGUUUAUGAAACUAGGGUUAUUAGGCUCUGACACAGGGCUGCUUUUCCCCACCAUGUACAAAUGGCAUGGGCUAGGAUCAGGUGGCUGUUACAGAAGGUUUUCCAGGGAAAAAGCUUGUGCUGUGCUGGCCUCCUUGCUGCCAAAAGCUGCCUGGUUCUGUAUCACACAUCCCUCCUAAGCAGUAUGUGUGCUGCAACAAGCUGCCUGUCCCCGCCAGAGGCCAUCCCAGCAGAACAUCCCAGGCACGCUCCUGGCAGCAGCUGCAAAAGGGAUUUUAAAGGGAAAUCUGAGGGCAGUGGGAAAAGGCCACUGGUCACAUCCUCAGAUGCAUCUGAGGACUAAAGUGACAAUGGGCUGCUGCUUUGUGUAAUUGUCCUGGAGUUCCUACACCAAGGGUAAUUUUGGAGCAUAGCCAGGGCGUGUUAAGCAUAAUGCUGACUUCUAUACUGACCACAUCAGUCACAAUUUAGAGUACAAGCUUUUCUGUAUGCUGCCUGUAGUGGUUUGACUUAAAUGAUAUUGUUCAAGUUGUGGCACAAAUGAUGCUCUGGUUCACACUCAGUUUUCCCCUCCUCCAAGGGAACUACACAAUUUCCUGGAAGCUGGAGCCUGUAGAAGAUGAUGUGUAACACAGGACAAUUUUGCAACACUGGCUCUAGUUGUAAUGUUGCUAGCAAAAAAGUAAUCUGCCAUUCAUGGGAUAUUUUCUAUAUGUGCUGGAAUUUCAAGCCCACUUUUCAUACUGAAGUUUAAUACUGUGUUUCUGGUUCAACUGCUUUCAAUCAGCAAAUACACUCCUAGAACAGAAACAGAAGUGCCGGGAAGCAACAUCAUUCUCUGAGGUACAAUAAAGCUCACCUAAUUGCUUCCUGACUUGCUGAUCCAUCAUCCUGACCCCCUCUUUGAUGUUUUCUUUCUUUUUUUUUUUUUUCCUCGAGUAUUAGUAACAAGUGAGAAAUGCUGUCUCAGGGUGUUAUAUAUGGGAUUAUUUCGCUAUCCCCAGCACAGUGACCGUAUGUAAUGGGAUUAUCUCUUGUUUAAAAUAAAAAAAGACUUGGAAACAUCAAA